rnacentral:ncRNA from 2 species
CAGAAUCCGUUGGGGUGCCCGUCCGGGCUGAGAGGCGCAAGCCAACCCAUCGAACCUGAUCCGGGCAAUACCGGCGGAGGGAACGGAGCACGAUCUGGC